rnacentral:rRNA from 1 species
GGGGAAUUUUGGACAAUGGGCGCAAGCCUGAUCCAGCCAUGCCGCGUGUCUGAAGAAGGCCUUCGGGUUGUAAAGGACUUUUGUCAGGGAAGAAAAGGGGCAUGUUAAUACCGUGCUCUGAUGACGGUACCUGAAGAAUAAGCACCGGCUAACUACGUGCCAGCAGCCGCGGUAAUACGUAGGGUGCGAGCGUUAAUCGGAAUUACUGGGCGUAAAGCGGGCGCAGACGGUUACUUAAGCGGGAUGUGAAAUCCCCGGGCUCAACCCGGGAACUGCGUUCCGAACUGGGUGGCUAGAGUGUGUCAGAGGGGGGUAGAAUUCCACGUGUAGCAGUGAAAUGCGUAGAGAUGUGGAGGAAUACCGAUGGCGAAGGCAGCCCCCUGGGAUAACACUGACGUUCAUGCCCGAAAGCGUGGGUAGCAAACAGGAUUAGAUACCCUGGUAGUCCACGCCCUAAACGAUGUCGAUUAGCUGUUGGGGCACUUGAUGCCUUAGUAGCGUAGCUAACGCGUGAAAUCGACCGCCUGGGGAGUACGGUCGCAAGAUUA